ensembl:snoRNA
UGGCGAUGAGGAUAUCCCUACUGUGUUGAACUACAGUGAUAACUGUAUACGCUAUUCUGAGCCAACA